UGCUGCUAUGUGUGUCUGUGUGGCGAAUGCAUGUGGUGAAAGUGUGUGAGGAUAUGUGCAUGAGAGAACCCUCUGAUUAAAAAACAACCAAGGCCUGCCAAACCUGUCAAUCUGUCACCAAGCCUCAGGGACACGCGGAGCUCUCAUAUUCCCGAGGCCAAAUCAGCCUGGAGCUUACCCAUGUUACGAGCCUAGACAGCAAGAUAGUUAUCUGGGAGAAAUUAGAGGAGUGAGCCUUGCCCAUUCACCCUCUGUCCUACCAGACUGUUUGGGAAGUCAGAAUCUGGGAGCUGAAAAAUCUGUGCUCCUUCUGAUUCUCUUUUCAUAAAUGUAUAAUUAAUAAAUGAAUGGGAAGUCAAAAUGUACAUUUACCCUGAAGGACAAUAUACAUCUUUUUCUAUUUUUUAUUUGUUUUCCUUCACAAAAGAUGCAGUUGGAUGCAAUGUGAAUUGGGCAGUCAAGAUGGUAUUCUGCUUAUUGAAGCCAUUAUUUUCCAGAGACCAUGCUGGUGGGUCUGACAUGGAGGGAAACCAAGCGUCAAAGACUAGAAGUCAAAGGUAGAAGAAAACAAUCCAACCUGAGAGCUUUGCUUCAGUAUAACCAAGAGAGAGAUUAUCUUCAGGAAUUUAUUGUUUAUCCAUUCUCUAAUGUGAGUAAAGCCCUAUUUGGACAGGAUAAGUUUUACACCAGGAGAUGGGUAAACUGAACAACUCCAAUCAAACAUGUUUCUUGAUUAGGCUCUUCAAGUGGAAUCUCUUCUUCCAUAGUUGGUAUGGCUUACAAAAAAAUGAAGACUUUUUGGGUAGAGUCUCCUGUGAAAACUGAGAACAUCCAAGCUGUCUUUUCCUAAAGAAAUCUGGUCUUUGCUCUCCAGUACUACAAGCGAGUGCUUACUGUUAACCAGACAAAUGAUGCUCAUUCAUCAUGUUAAAAGAAAAGGUAAAUGAAAAAAGAAGUAGAAUUAGACGGGAAUUUCAAAGUAGCUGUCGAUUGUCUGACUGACUGCAAUGAAGACCUGAAGCCACUGCAGUGUUUCUAGGUAACAGUUCACUAAGUGUUGAUUUGAAAUGUUGCUCAAUAAAGUCUGCCAUUUUGACUGAUAAAGAAGCAGGAAAAAAACAAAGAAGGCAAUCAGCAAACAAAAAGCACAAAAAGAUGCCCUUCCUGAAAAUUGAUUUACAUUCAGAUUACUUUACAUGUUAAAUCACGGCAUUACCUGUGAAUAAAAUGAUGUAUACUG